GGGGGUCAUAGAACAGAGGCUAGAAGAGUCUUUAAAUCAGAAUAAAGAACUUUCAGAAGAAUCCAAUUUGGAAUCUACACUAACAGCAAAACAGGUAGUUCCAGAUGAGAAGAAUCCACACAGGCUUGAGGAAUUAGAAUGGCAACCAUAGAGAUGCAGUAUUUGAAUUAAGGAUACAAAUUAGAUUUAAUGCUACUUUAGAGUGAUGUCUGGAGAAUUAAGAUAUGUACACAUAUUGAUACACUAUACUAUUGACACAUUUUCAGAAUUCCAAUGGGCUUCUGGCUUAAAUUCUGGAAUUGCUGAUUCUGCGAUUGCACAUUUAUGAGGGCUGGCAGCUAUCUUAGAGAUGCCUUUGCAGACUGAAGCUGACGAUGCUCAAGUCGUCCUGAUCUCAGAAUGGAAGGAAGAAAUGUGUUACUUCUGGGGAAGAGACGUCGCCUUUGCUACAACAGGAAAAAAAAAAGCUGUGGAUUUCCUCCAAAUGGAUUAAAAAUCAGAUCCCAUGAAGUUAAAGAGGCCCUGACAAGAUUCACCCUUGGAGAUGCUGAGAAGGAUGCCGAGACACUGAGAUAUAUUUUUUCCAGCAUCCUGCUUGAUACUACCUCAGACUGCCUCAAUGCUCAAAAAUCUACAUCUGGAACAAUUUCAAAACGGCUAGCUAUAUCAACCAGCAAUAUAGACUAUGCCAGUCAGGACUUCAUUUACGCCCGUAAACUUUCUCAGCACAGAAA